rnacentral:rRNA from 1 species
CAGGUGCUCCAGAACGACAUCGACCUGCUCAACCCGUCAGCGGAGCUCGAGAAGCUCAAGCACAAGAAGAAGCGCCUCGUCCAGUCCCCCAACUCCUUCUUCAUGGUAAGCAAUUCCCCUUCCCUUCAAAUCUUCUCUCUCCUUUUCGGCAUCAUUCUUACCGAUGUUUGUUUAGGCUGUUCCCUAAUUAGAUGA